rnacentral:rRNA from 1 species
ACCCGUUUCGUACGCUCGCUUUGGACAGUUCACACAAAGUUUAAGGAAGUCUUUCUAUGUUUGCGCAAGUUAGCAAAAGAUAUCAUCAAACCGAGAGAUCCUACAUUUAGCUAUGAGCAUGAAAAGAUUAGAGAAGAACGUUUCUGGCCUUAUUUCAAAGGCGUUAUUGGUGCCAUAGAUGGAUCUCAUGUGCCAGUGAUAGUGCCUACAUAUGACGUGGUUAACCAUAGAUGUCGACAUGGUUUUAUGUCUCAGAAUGUGCUUGCAAUAUGUGACUUUCACAUGAGGUUUACCUUUGUGGUUGCGGGUUGGCCGGACUCUGCACAUGACUCAAGGAUCCUGAAUCAUGCAUUAGCACACUUAUCUUCAUUUCCUGUACCUCCCAAAUGGAAAUACUAUCUUGUGGACUCUGGGUAUGCAAACCGAAUAGGAUAUCUUGCUCCUUUUAAGGGGAGUACGUACCAUCUACCAGAAUUCCAUCUUCAUCGUCACUGUCCACCUCAAGGGAAGUAUGAGUUGUUCAACUUUUCACAUUCGUCCCUCCGCAAUGUCGUUGAGCGUGCUUUUGGGGCGCUCAAGCAGAAAUGGCGCAUAUUGAAAGGGGUCCCAAGUUUCUCACCUUGUAUGCAAAAGCAUAUCAUCAUUGCUUGC